rnacentral:misc_RNA from 1 species
GAUGAAGAACGCAGCGAAAUGCGAUAAGUAAUGUGAAUUGCAGAAUUCAGUGAAUCAUCGAAUCUUUGAACGCACAUUGCGCCCGCUGGUAUUCCGGCGGGCAUGCCUGUUCGAGCGUCAUUUCAACCCUCAAGCUCUCCGGAGUUUGGUGUUGGGGCGCCUGGGGCUUUUCGACCUCAGGGCCCUCAAGUCCAUCGGCGGGACCGCCAGGACACUGAGCGAAGUAGUAUUAUUUCGCUCGGUAGGAUCUUCCACGGCGGGUCGAUCUGGCCGCUAAACCCCCCAAUUCUCACCAAAGGUUGACCUCGGAUCAGGUAGGAAUACCCGCUGAACUUAAGCAUAUCAAUAAGCGGAGGA